AAAGGGAAGAACAAACCUGUUUUCAACAAGCCUACCAAGACUACUACCUUCAAGAAGAAGAAGUUCAACAAGGCUGAGCUAGAGUGCUACGCCUGUGGGAAGCCUGGACACUUUUCCAAGGAAUGCCCUGAACGUGCAGACCGCAGAGGGAAAACAAGCUCCAAGACUGUCAACAUGGUGACCGCUAGCAAUACUGAUGGGUCGCAAGGGAUUCUUCCGUCCUAAUGGGGAAUGGGUCACAUGCUUCUGUUCGUGGCAUUGGCACGGUGGAUCUGAAGUUUACUUCAGGAAAGAUCGUGCAACUAAGGAACGUGCAGCAUGUCCCUACUAUGAACAAGAAUCUAGUUAGCGGCUCCCUUCUAUGUCGAGAUGGAUUUAAGGUAGUUUUAGAGUCCAAUAAAGUAAUCGUGUCAAGAUUUGGACAAUUUAUAGGAAAAGGCUAUGAGUGCGGAGGCUUGUUCCGCUUUUCUCUUUCAGAUUUUUGCAAUAAGUCAAUAAACCAAAUUUGUGCUAGUGUUAAUGAUGAUGCAAGUA